GAUGAACGCUGGCGGCGUGCCUAAUACAUGCAAGUCGAGCGAACAGACAAGGAGCUUGCUCCUUUGACGUUAGCGGCGGACGGGUGAGUCACACGUGGGUAACCUACCUAUAAGACUGGGAUAACUUCGGGAAACCGGAUCUAACACCGGAUAACAUUUGGAACCGCAUGGUUCUAAAGAGAAAGAUGGUUUUGCUAUCACUUAUAGAUGGACCCGCGCUGUAUUAGCUAGUUGGUACGGUAACGGCUUACCAAGGCGACGAUACGUAGCCGACCGGAGAGGGUGAUCGGCCACACUGGAACUGAGACACGGUCCAGACUCCUACGGGAGGCAGCAGUAGGGAAUCUUAGGCAAUGGGCGAAAGCCUGACGGAGCAAGGCCGCGUGUGUGAUGAAGGGUUUCGGGUCGUAAAGCUCGGUUAUGAGGGAAGAACAGACGUGUAAGUAACUGUGGACGUCUUGACGGUACCGAAUCAAAAAGCCACGGCUAACCACGUG
rnacentral:rRNA from 1 species